CCACUUACAAAUAUACUUUUUUGUUACAUAAUUGCCCUCAAAAAUAAAACAAUGUAAAACUUCAGAGAUUACAAGUCCACUCAGUCCUACUUCUUGUGCAGCCAAUCACUAAGACAAACAAACUUGUUCACAUUUACGGGAAAUAAUAAUGCCCGUUUCUUAUUUACAAUGUCACCUGAAAGCGAGAACAGGCAUUCACAUGGCACUGCUGUAGCCAGUGUUGCAAGGUAUUUACGUGCCAGAUAUAAAAAUUUUAUAAAAG